GACGAUGACCUCAUGCUGCAGCAGCGGGUGGGGCCAGAGUCGUCGGGGGAGACUGUUGCAAAGGCAGAGAGGGAGAAGUGAUGACGGUGAUCGUUGUCGCCGCGGCUUCUAUGGAACCCAAGCAGUGCCGAAGGAAGUCUCAAGGCUCUUCCCCGACCAUUUGCUCCUUUUCCUGCGCGAGGUGAGGGCCCUGGCUCGGCCUCUGCGAGACUUUGGGGCGCUGGUGCGGCCGUGGAGGCGCAAUUUCUCCAGUGACUUUUGUAACUGCGUCAGGGCAAGAUGGCGCUGGGUCUCCUUGGGGCGCGGGGGGAGAGGCACGUCCACCGCCGCCGCAGCGCAUGUGACCGGCUGCAUUCCUGUGGGGUUUGGCCGGGACCCAGGCAGGGCGGGGGAGGGGACCGGGUUUGGGCGGAGGAGAUGGUGUUGCGGUCGGCGUUGGCUGCCCGAAGAGGAAGAGAUGACUGUUUGAAAGCGCUUCCCCUCCCCCCAGCAGCUGAACAGCUGCGCCGGGGGUGGGGGUGGGGGAGCCCCCGAAAGGACACUCCUUUCGGGGUGUGCCAGCCGCUAGUGGAGGAGAAGGUUUGACGCCCUAUUUUCUUAUCUGCCUUUCUCCUUGCAAAGUGUGCUUACAUAAGGUGGCAGUUCCCUUCUGUAAGCCAACUCGGAGGCCCUGAGUGUCACUGGUAUGAGUAACGAGGACAGGCUAGGCUCAGAAGGCACCAGGGCUAGCAGUGUUGACUAUUUCAGACAAAACACCAAGUUUUCGGGUCUGAAUAGAAGAAUACAGCAUACUCAGAGUUUGAAAGCAAGUGAACAACACCCAGGAACACUUGAGUUUCCUAGAACAGACAAGUGGUUAAGGACUAUCGUAAUCUGAAAGUAAGGGCCCUUUUAAACGUUCUUCUUACAUUCUUGUGUUCAUUACCCUCCCUGUCAGUACAUCCCGUGAGAGUUUAAUCUUAUUGGUGAGGGUUGUAUUUUCAAAUAUAAGUAUGCUCAGUAAUGGAGAAUACCAGCUACUGGUGUUUUCUGUAUGAAAGUGAAAGGUCAUUCUCAAUACUUCACAUUGCAUUUUGUCGUCCUUUUAAAAAUAAAAGAUAGAAUUACAAAUGCUUUCUUGUAAAUAUUCGUUGAAGCUCUCAAGCCUGCGUCUUUAAAGCACAUUUGUAAUAGCACAAAAUGUAUUUUUAGUGGGACUUAGGAAUGGGAAUGAGGGUUUGAAUGGGUUUUGCUACUUAAUAACCUAGGCUAGCUUGGAACUCAUACUCCUGCCUACCCUCCUAUUGCUAGGAUUACAGACUGCAUGGGUACUAUUUCCACCAAACACUGUAUUUGGUGCUGAGAGAAAAUGAAUGCCUGCUGGGCCUAGAACCUUCUUUAACCUGGGUCAUGGUUAUGUUAAUUUAUGUUUCUUUUUAGCGGUAGGCCCUUUGUAGUUGGAAAUCAAGAUUGGUUUGUAGCAUUCCUUGUAGAUUUUUUUUGUUGUUGUUAUACAAUGUGAAUGAGCUAAAAGAAACAGUAUUUUUAAUGUAGUUAUGUUUUAUAAUUAACAAAUUGAAAGCUUUUUGCUCCUUAUCUAUUAAAAUGGACAUUUUGUAU
rnacentral:lncRNA from 1 species